UAGACCAGGUUCUAGUCUGUCUGAGUUAGACCAGGUUCUAGUCUGACUGAGUUAGACCAGGUUCUGGUCUGUCUGAGUCAGUUAGACCAGGUUAUAGAGGAACAAACUGCUCAUUCAACAGGUUUCCUUCAUUUUAACUAAUAUAUUAAAUAACGUGUUUGUUUCUGUUUAUUCAGUCUGAAACAACAAUUUCUGUACAUAUUUCACAUUAAAAGCCUUCUAAUACAUAGAUAAUACGUAGGGAAGGAAAGAAUGAGGUACGCAGGGAAGGAAAGAAUGAGGUGGGAAGGAAAGAAUGAGGUACGUAGGGAAGGAAAGGAGGAGGUACGUAGGGAAGGAAAGGAGGAGUGUUUACAGCUCUGGUUCUCAGGGUUUGUAUUUGAUGAGAUAGAAAUGAGCGGCGUGUUCCUUUAAAUUUCAGAAUCUGAUCUCAGGUCAGAGACUAACUCCAGCCAGACCAACCAGCUGAGAUCAACAGGGUUAAGAUCUGAUCUCUGAUCAGCUUCACCAAACAGGAAGUAAAAAAACACAGAGA